AUUGAACGCUGGCGGCAUGCCUAACACAUGCAAGUCGAACGGCAGCACAGUAAAGAUUUCGGUCUUUAUGGGUGGCGAGUGGCGGACGGGUGAGUAACGCGUAGGAAUCUGUCCUGGAGAGUGGGAUAACCCGAGGAAACUCGGGCUAAUACUGCAUGACAUUGAGAGAUCAAAAGCAGGGGACCGAAAGGCCUUGCGCUCUGGGGUGAGCCUACGUCGGAUUAGCUAGUUGGUGGGGUAAAGGCCUACCAAGGCGACGAUCCGUAGCUGGUCUGAGAGGAUGACCGGCCACACUGGGACUGAGACACGGCCCAGACUCCUACGGGAGGCAGCAGUGGGGAAUCUUGGACAAUGGGGGAAACCCUGAUCCAGCGAUGCCGCGUGUGUGAAGAAGGCCUUCGGGUUGUAAAGCACUUUAGGUGGGGAAGAAAGGUAGCGAGUGAAUAACUUUCUGCUGUGACGGUACCCACAGAAUAAGCACCGGCUAACUCUGUGCCAGCCGCCGCAGUAA
rnacentral:rRNA from 1 species